rnacentral:rRNA from 1 species
GACGAACGCUGGCGGCGUGCUUAACACAUGCAAGUCGAACGAUGACGACCGAGCUUGCUCGGUCUGAUUAGUGGCGAACGGGUGAGUAACACGUGAGCAACCUGCCCUUCACUCUGGGAUAACCUCGGGAAAUCGGGGCUAAUACCGGAUAUGAGCUCCUGUCGCAUGGCGGGUGUUGGAAAGUUUUUCGGUGAAGGAUGGGCUCGCGGCCUAUCAGUUUGUUGGUGAGGUAGUGGCUCACCAAGGCGAUGACGGGUAGCCGGCCUGAGAGGGCGACCGGCCACACUGGGACUGAGACACGCCCCAGACUCCUACAGGAGGCAGCAGUGAAGAAUAUUACACAAUGGGCGAAAGCCUGAUGCAGCGACGCCGCGUGAGGGAUGACGGCCUUCGGGUUGUAAACCUCUUUCAGCAGGGAAGAAGCGAAAGUGACGGUACCUGCAGAAGAAGCGCCGGCUAACUACGUG